rnacentral:lncRNA from 1 species
GAACCUGACCUUCUUCUACCUGCCCUCUUCACCUGGCCCUAACCCUUCUCUACCUGGCCUUAAAACUUCUUCUACCUGGCCCUAACACUUCUUCUACCUGGCCCCGAACCUUCUACCUGUCCUAAACCCUUCGACCCUUGGCUCUAACCCUUCUACCUGGUCCUAACCCUUCUACCUGGCCCUAACCCUUCUACCUGGUCCUAACCCUUCCAUGUUGUUCAAUGUUUCCACUUUGCAGAUCUGAAGGCCUAUACAUCCCUCCCAUUAAUCCUCUCCUAUGGGAUAGACAUGAAAAUGAUGCUGGUCCAUUCCAUUACUACUUGGUGUCUGUAGCCUCUGCUACACUCAUACUGACCCCUAGGCCUCAGUCUCACUACUGGGUUAUCAUCACAUAAACUCAAUCUCAAAUGGUCUUUCCACCGUUUCUCACAACCUCUCCUCACCUCCUGCUCACCAUAUUGGAGGAGAAGGUCCAAGGUCCCUCCCCUCUAACCUUCUUCUCCAAUGAGUUUUGAGAAGGUGAGGAGAGAAAAUGUCAGGAAUAGAAGAGAAAUGGGCUUAUACAGGGGACAAUCAGAGCCCACCUAUCCCGCCUACUCAUCCCUUAUCUCUCGGUCUCUCAGGAUGAUGAAAGGCAAGUUUGAAGAUGAUGAUGAUGGCAUCGACCUGAAUGACAUGGAGAAGUUCCUGCCAGGCCUUACUUCCAUAGUGCUACUGAUCCAGUCAGUCAUUGGGGACCUGAGUUAUGGGCCUGGCCGGCUGACCGGUGGUGGCCAGGCAGGGGCCACAGAGUCACUGAGGACAUAUCCGGCCUGGUCCGCUCCAGUUCCUUCCUGCAGAACAAAGCGACCAGGGGACCAGACUCAAGACGUCUCCUCAGACUGGCUGGCCCGUUCAGUCUACGUGCACCAGAGCAGGAGCCUCAGAGGGGAGGCAGUCAACCAACCAGCCCUUGGGACUCGGGUCGGUGACUGGGGUCCGGGUACUGGGACCGUACUUAACACAGGCCUGACUGGGGCUGAAGGAAUAGUUGGCCCUGCUCCCUCCUCCAUCCUUGUCCUCCUCAUUCUCCCUCCUUCACGUCCACUGUAGAACAAUGAGGUCAGCGUGGAGAGCAGCCCCCUCCUACACCCUUUUCCUGCCAUUGUCAGAGAGGAGAGAGUCUGUGUUAGGUGUGCUCCCAGUGACCGACCACAGAGGAACACUGACCUUCUAGAGAUCAGGAACUGGAGAAGACGCGUAGACACACACGUGGACAGACACACACGUGGACAGACACACACGUGGACAGACACACACGUGGACAGACACACACGUGGACAGACACACACGUGGACGGACACACACACAUUGCUUUCGGAAAGUUGGCAGACCCCUCGACUUUUUCCACAUUUUGUUACGUUACAGCCUCAUUCUAAAAUGGAAUAUUUUAUUUAUUAUUAUUUUAUUUUAUAUAUUUUUGCCCCUUAUUAAUAUACACACUAUACCCCAUAAUGACAAAAAUAAAAAACAGUUUUUUAGACAUUUUUGCAAAUCCAUUAAAAAUAUAACUGAUAACAUUUACAUAAGUAUUCAGUCCCUUUACUCAGUACUUUGUUAAAGCACCUUUUUGAAGUGAUUACAGCCUUGAGUCUUCUUGGGGAGCGUCGCUGCACAGCUAAUUUCAGGUCUCUCCAGAGAUGUUCGAUUGGGUUCAAGUCCGGGCUCUGACUGGACCACUAAAGGACAUUCAGAGACUUUUUCCGAAGUCACUCCUGCGUUAUCUUGGCUGUGUGCUUAGGGUCAUUGAGCUGUUGGCAGGUGAACCUUCUCCCCAGUCUGAGGUCCUGAGUGCUCUGGAGCAAGUUUUCAUCAAGGAUCUCUCUGUACUUUGCUCCAUUCAUCUUUCCCUCGAUCCUGACUAGUCUCCCCUGCCACUGAUAAACAUCCCCACAGCAUGAUGCUGCACCACCAUGCUUCACCGUAGGGAUGGUGUCAGGUUUCCUCCAGAUGUGACGCUUGGCAUUCAAGCCAAAGAGUUCAAUCUUGGUUUCAUCAGACCAGAUAAUCUUGUUUCUCAUGGUCAGAGAGUUCUCUAGUUGCCUUUUUACAAACUCCAAGCGGGCUGUUCUGUGACUUUUACUGAGGGGCUUCCGUCUGGCCACUCUGCCAUAAAGGCCUGAUUGGUGGAGUGCUGCAGAGAUGGAUGUCCUUCUGGAAGGUUCUCCCAUCUCCACAGAGGAUCUCUGGAGCUCUGUCAGAGUGACCAUCGUGUUCUUGGUCACCUCCCUGACCAAGGCCCUUCUCCCCCGAUUGCUCAGUUUGACCGGACGGCAAGCUCUAGGACGAGUCUUGGUGGUUCUAAACUUGUUCCAUCUAAGAAUGAUGGAGGCCACUGUGUUCUUGGGGACCUUCCAUGCUGCAGAAAUGUUUAGGUACCCUUUCCCAGAUCUGUGCCUCGACACAAUCCUGUCUCGGAGUUCUACGGACAAUUCUUUCAACUUCAUGGCUUGGUUUUUGCUCUGACAUGCACUGUCAACUGUGGGACCUUUAUAUAGACAGGUGUGUGCCUUUCCAAGUCUUGUCCAAUCAAUUGGACUCCAAUCAAGUUGUAGAAAAAUCUCAAGGAUGAUCAAUGGAAACAGGAUGCACCUGAGCUCAAUUUCCGGUCUCAUAGCAAAGGGUCUGAAUACGAAGUUAUUUCAGAUUUGCAUGUCUUUAUACAUUUGCAAAAAUGUCUAAAAAUCAGUUUUUGCUUGGUCAUUAUGGGCUAUUGUGAUGUCAUUAUGGGGUAUUGUGAUGUCAUUAUGGGGUAUUGUGAUGUCAUUAUGGGGUAUUGGGAUGUCAUUAUGGGGUAUUGGGAUGUCAUUAUGGGGUAUUGUGUGUGGAUUGAUGAGAAAAACAAUGAGUUUAAUCCAUUUUAGAAAAAGGCUGUAAUGUAACAACAUUUGGGAAAAGUCAAGGGGUCUGAAUACUUUCUGAAUGCACUGUAUACUAAUGCGCGCACACUCGUAUACAUAACAAAAUUAAUUUGGCACAGAAUCUCACUUUCGCUAAAUUUGUUAUUUGCCUGCAACUCUUCCUGUGUGAAUGGGUUAAUUUGUUAUUUGCCUGCAACUCUUCCUGUGUGAAUGGGUUAAUUUGUUAGUUGCCGCAACUCUCCUGUGGU